UACAGAGGUGGCAAGCGUUGUUCGGAAUUACUGGGCGUAAAGGGCGCGUAGGCGGUCGAUUAAGUCCCGUGUGAAAUCCCUCGGCUCAACUGAGGAACUGCACGGGAAACUGGCUGACUUGAGUUCGGGAGAGGGAAGCGGAAUUCCGGGUGUAGCGGUGAAAUGCGUAGAUAUCCGAAGGAACAUCAGUGGCGAAAGCGGCUUCCUGGACCAGAACUGACGAUCAGGCACGAAAGCGUGGGGAGCAAACAGG
rnacentral:rRNA from 1 species